AACACUCAUAUGUAUCUUUAAUUUGUUGUAACAAAGCCUUACAGACAAGUGCAAAUAGUAAAUCCUCUUUUGCAACCCAGAACUCAUUAUUGAGCAUGAGUUUCGGUACAUGUAAGAAGGAAUAUG
ensembl:snoRNA